GAAUGGUGGAUGGGCAGGUGGGUGGGUGGGUGAGUGAAUGGAUGAAUGGGUGGGUGGGUGUGUGAAUGGAUGAAUGAAUGGGUAGAUGAAACGGUGGAUGGGCAGGUGAGUGAGUGCAUGGAUGGGUAGAUAGAUGGGUGGGUGAAUGUAUGGAUGGGUGAACAAAUGGAUUAGUGAUUCAGCCUCUGCCCUUAACAAGUUCAGACCUUCAAGAAAGCACCUCUGCCUGUGCAGCUCCCUUUCCCUGGAGUGUCCUCUCAUCCCUCCUUCUUUUUAUCCACCUAGAAAUUGCCAGGUUCUGAGUCUCCCCAUCGUGUUGCCAGGAGACAGUUGCAUUUCCACAGGGAGCUCCAAAUGUGC
rnacentral:lncRNA from 10 species